rnacentral:rRNA from 1 species
AUGAACGCUGGCGGCGUGCCUAAUACAUGCAAGUCGAGCGAACAGACGAGGAGCUUGCUCCUCUGACGUUAGCGGCGGACGGGUGAGUAACACGUGGAUAACCUACCUAUAAGACUGGGAUAACUUCGGGAAACCGGAGCUAAUACCGGAUAAUAUAUUGAACCGCAUGGUUCAAUAGUGAAAGACGGUUUUGCUCUCACUUAUAGAUGGAUCCGCGCCGCAUUAGCUAGUUGGUAAGGUAACGGCUUACCAAGGCAACGAUGCGUAGCCGACCUGAGAGGGUGAUCGGCCACACUGGAACUGAGACACGGUCCAGACUCCUACGGGAGGCAGCAGUGGGGAAUCUUCCGCAAUGGGCGAAAGCCUGACGGAGCAACGCCGCGUGAGUGAUGAAGGUCUUCGGAUCGUAAAACUCUGUUAUUAGGGAAGAACAGAUGUGUAAGUAACUAUGCACGUCUUGACGGUACCUAAUCAGAAAGCCACGGCUAACUACGUG